CUUCAAGUCUGUUGCCAUCUCAGAUGUCGUUCUGCCAGUGUCUGGCACAGGUCACAGCUGAUGGGGUCGGUUCAGCCAGGUUCUUGGGCUGCAGUGGGGGGGGGGGGGGGGCGUCACUCUCCAGUAGGUGGGACAUUGUCUGUACUGCUCCGCAGCUGCUUGUGUCUUCUGACUGGUAGUUCCAUGCUUUGCACCUCCCCAGCUCCACUCGUAAUCUGUUCAGGGUCUUCCAGGUUGGCCAUGGGAGGUCAUGCCCGCUGGAUACGGCCCUCCCUCAAAAGGGAAGCAGCUCAGCCCUUGGUCCAAGCGCUCAUCAUCUGAGGCCUCGACUACUGCAACUCGCUCCCGGCUGGACUCCCUUCCUCCGCCAUCAAACCUUUACAGGGUAUCCAGAACGCAGCAGCACGCCUCGUGUUCAACUUACCAAGAUUUCCUCAUUAACCCCUGUCUUCCGUAACCUCCACGGGCUCCCUGUAGUAGCAUGCAUCAAGAUUCAUGACAAUGUUACUGGCCUACAAGGGUGAACUGGAAAUGCCCCUGCCUACCUCCAAGUCUAAGUCAGACCACACACCACUUGUGCGCUCCGCUCAAUUACCUCAGCUGGACGUCUUGCACUGCCAUCGCUAAGAGCAAGCAAAGGUUGCACAACAAAGUCAAACUUAUUCUCUGUUCUGGCAACGCAAUAGUUCAACGAGCCCCCUGCCGAUGUCAGGAGUGCAGUUGCUCACCAGCUUUCACAAGAGACUUAAAACUCACCUGUUCAGAGUUCACCUGGACGCUGCAUAGCUUCCCUCUUUAUCCCCAACCGCCUUUCCUCCUGCCUUAAUCCUAAAAAAAAAACCUCUUUCGCACUUAUUGUACAUUUGUACGUCCUGUCACUUAACGUAUGCACUUUUUUAUGCGUUAUGUCCUGUUACUUUAAAUUAGCAUUGAGUAGCAUAUUUCCCGAGCUAUCUUUAUGGGAAAAAAGGGAAUGGGUCAACCUAGCAAUUGUAAAUGCUUGGCACUUAAUCUAUGAACUUCCCUACUGUACCGACAGCGUUAAAUUGUUGUUUCUCUAACUUCUGAAAAAAUUUACUUAUUGUUCGUCGCUUUUGAUAAAAGCGUAUGCUAAAUCUAAAUGUUAAUAACAAUUAGCAGUUUGUGCAAGAAUAUGCAAAGUAUGGACCAUGGAAUGUGCAGCGGUUCACAGAUUAAAGUACACAGUUUGUGUUAUGCC
ensembl:lncRNA